rnacentral:rRNA from 1 species
UAGGGAAUCUUCGGCAAUGGACGGAAGUCUGACCGAGCAACGCCGCGUGAGUGAAGAAGGUUUUCGGAUCGUAAAGCUCUGUUGUAAGAGAAGAACGAGUGUGAGAGUGGAAAGUUCACACUGUGACGGUAUCUUACCAGAAAGGGACGGCUAACUACGUGCCAGCAGCCGCGGUAAUACGUAGGUCCCGAGCGUUGUCCGGAUUUAUUGGGCGUAAAGCGAGCGCAGGCGGUUAGAUAAGUCUGAAGUUAAAGGCUGUGGCUUAACCAUAGUACGCUUUGGAAACUGUUUAACUUGAGUGCAAGAGGGGAGAGUGGAAUUCCAUGUGUAGCGGUGAAAUGCGUAGAUAUAUGGAGGAACACCGGUGGCGAAAGCGGCUCUCUGGCUUGUAACUGACGCUGAGGCUCGAAAGCGUGGGUNNGAAACAGGAUUAGAUACCCUGGUAGUCCACGCCGUAAACGAUGAGUGCUAGGUGUUAGACCCUUUCCGGGGUUUAGUGCCGUAGCUAACGCAUUAAGCACUCCGCCUGGGGAGUACGACCGCAAGGUUG